rnacentral:lncRNA from 1 species
GAUUAGUCACCUAACUUAGCACUAUGUCACAUUGUAGUCAGCGGUUGAACGGUCACUCAACUUCAAAACUCGCCACUCUAUCCAUCACCCAGCAUCCCCACCAUUUGAAACUAUCUCACGUGGCUCGACGGCGGCCGACGUGGCAAUCGACGGCGUGAAAAUCGGACAUGGUGGAUGCGAUUUCAAUUUACAAACACGAUCCUUCACUUCCAAUAUGAAAUUCCGUCACUCCAUUACACGUAAUUCAAGGUCUGAGCCCUAGAUUCAUUUCUUCUCUCCCAAUUCGAUUCGUCAGACUUGGGAACACCAGACUUGUGAUUUUCAAUCCAUAAAUGGUUUGAAUCUGAAUGUCAUGUUGGUUUGAAUUUGUUCCAUGUAAUCGGUUUGAAUCUGAGUUCGUCAUGUUUGUUGAGUACUUGAAUCUGAAUUUUCAUGUUUUAGGAGUAUCUUAUCAUCUAUUAAUCACUCGUGCCAUUCCGUUUUGCAUUUAGAAUUGGAUUAGGCAUCUUUUGGAAUUCUUUAUAAUUUAUUCACCAGGCACUUUAUUUCUUUAGAAAGUUUGUAUUUGUACAAUUUUCAAGUUUUCUGUAUUAUUUCCUCAAAUAUGAAAAUAUCUGCCAGAAUAAUAGAAUUUGUUGGGUACUUGAAUCUGAAUUUGUCAUGUUUUAUGCCCCUCGUGGGGUGAUCGAGUUGGUGGAAUAUGUGAGUGCGGAGACCAUUGGUCACGAGUUCAAUUUCCCCUACCAACACUUUCUCGGUCAAACCUAUCGCACCGGACUUGUCUAGUGUGGUUUACCUGACUGACAUGGUUUGCAGGCUAUUGAGUUUGAGGGUUUACCCAAUACGCACUCGAAGGGUAGCGGCUACAGGUUCCCCUAUUAAAAAAAAAAUUGUCAUGUUUUACUCGAAUUUGUUCCAUACUCUGUUAUUGAAUUUUGUUGAAAUUGGAAUUUUGCAAUUGGAAUGUUGGUUGAAUCUGGAUUUGUUAGCUCUUUGAAGUGGACAGAUAAUUAUGAGAUUAUCUUCCACAGUUCCACUGAGUGUUAUUGAAUUUUUUUGCAACUGGAAUGUUGGUUGAGGAGGCUGCAAACUGGUAGUCUUUGUUUUGAUAGGCAAUUAUUGAAGUCUCUGUGUAUUUGUAUGUCAUGUAAUCUGCCAGAAAUUCUGCAUUUAGUAUUGGAAUUUAAUUUAAUUUUAAUGAUGGGGGUGUUAAAGUUGAUGGGGAUUAUGAACAUGAUAUUACAAAAUUUGAUGAUAUUUUCAAGAUGUCAAAUAAGAAAGUCGAAGUUGAUGUAUUUUAUACAAUUAAAGUUGAUGUAGAAGACCAAUCAUUCUGGUGUUAAAUUUAGAGUGAGUGUUUACUUGGUGUUAAUUACAUUAUUUUGAUAAGGAUUCCGAUGUACAUGCGAAAGUUUAAGUUUAUAAACUAGAUGUGCUUGCUUGACUUGAUAGGGUAAAAUUUGAUGUGUUGGGAGAGAGCUGCACGCAUCGACUCUUAGAGAUGGACCAGCAGCCACUUCAUAUAAUAUUCCUACGGACGAAGCUAACUUCGAAGUGUUCGUGGAUAAGCUGCAAUACAUAGACGAUGCCAAAUAUUCAAGGUUGAGAUUGAAAAGGGCACGAAGAAGACGACUUGUUAACACUUUGACAACAACGUCCCUGCAGUCUUCAGGCAAUACCAAACGGGCAGAUUAAUAUUUGAAGGAUAGGGCAGCUUAUUUGGACUCAUAUUGUCUUGCCUUUUUGUCUAGCUAUGGAAUGGAAUGUAUAAAUUUUUGUGGAUAGUAACAUGCCAAGUAAAAAAAAACCUUGCAGUGUUGACGUUGCUUAUAAUGCCAGUAUUUAACAUAGACUAUGUUGUGAUAGCAAUGAUUCCAGUGUGUCAUCAGAUGAAGUAUAUAUUUUUGUUAAUGGUCGUGUUUCAGUAUAGAUGAAAUAGUGUUUUUUGCACCCCACCCACUCGGAUCGCAAAGAAGAUGAGCCAAGCCAAGCUGGCUAAGCAGAUAAAUGAGCAGCCAUAGGUGGUUCAAGAGUAUGAGAAUGGAAAGACUGUGUCAAACCAAGCUAUGCUGGUGAAAAUGGAGAGAGUCUUGGGUGUGAAGCUGAGAUGGAAAGUUGUACAUAAAUGAUGAUUAUAAUUGAAUAUUGAUAUAACUAGUCUUCGUGUUGAUUUAGAACAAGAGAGGGAAAAAGCACAGAAAAUUAGUAUUAGUUUUGAAGAUUGACAGGAAAAUUGAGGGAAUUCAUUGAAAGUGUUUACUGUCAGUAGAAUAAGUGCCUAUAUAUCCUAAAUUUAAUUUCUAGUGACAAAGAAAAGAAAU